ensembl:snoRNA
AUGGCCCCUAGACAUGUUGCAGGUGUGGCUGCUGUAUCACAUGUGCCUCAGGAGGUGGCACAGAGGAGAGAUGUGUAAGCUCAGUGUUCUGACUGGUGAACAUCUGAAUGAUUAGUAACCCAACACU